CAGGGUCUCCAAAGGCACAACAGGUACCAGGAGCAGUGGGGCCCCAUUCCUCCCCGAACCCCAAAAUUCAGCGUGCUCCUGGAUAAAACCUCCUAGCACCUCAACUCAGGGAGAAAACCUGGCCCACAUUCAUAGACUGGUCAUCCUACAGGAGGAAACGGGGUGAGAACAAUGGGCUUGGCUCCAUUGAACAGAGGGCCAUUGAAGCUCGAGGCAGCCAUGAAGAUGGAGUUAAUCGCACAGAAUGUUUUGGCUCCAGAAAUCAGACGCGAACACAACAGACAGAGGUAGGGCCACUCUGGGCCUGUGGUGGCUUGGUAAAGUGGAUACUGUAUAAGGAUUCUGUCUGUUGUAUAAUAUCUUUGUAGCAGUGCAUUGUGGGUAUUACAAUACACUUCUGUUUCAUGUCAGAG